UACGUAGGGUGCGAGCGUUGUCCGGAAUUAUUGGGCGUAAAGAGCUCGUAGGCGGUGUGUCACGUCGGCCGUGAAAACCUGGGGCUUAACUCUGGGCGUGCGGUCGAUACGGGCAUCACUAGAGUUCGGCAGGGGAGACUGGAAUUCCUGGUGUAGCGGUGAAAUGCGCAGAUAUCAGGAGGAACACCGGUGGCGAAGGC
rnacentral:rRNA from 1 species